rnacentral:tRNA from 1 species
AGAGAUCUAGCUCAAGUGGUAGAGAGCGUGCUUAGCAUGUAUGAAGUCCUGGGUUCAAUUCCCAGUGUCUCCU